UAUUAAAUGAUUCUGUUUUGUCUUUAAUAUUUUCUGUUUUGUAAAUAACUAUUCAUAAGAACAGUAUUUAGUUUUUAGAGUUUCUGUUUUUAUGUCUUUGCUUGCCUAUUAAGGUUUCUAACGUGUAGAAACAACACUCAACAAAACCCUAUUUAAAGGGAUUCCAGUGCUCCUAAUCUGAUGAUGAAAAUACACAAAAUAAAGUUCACAGAACCACCAUUCUAUUAAAAAGCUCUGAUAAAGCUCUUACCUUUUCUGUGCAUUUCUUCUUCUUGUUGUAUUCUUCUUUUUUCUUCUUUUGAAUCACCAUCCACGCUAGCGUUUAGAAUCUCCCAUGGGUGUCGCCCUUCUUCUUCUCUCUCGUGAAGAAUCCCGAUGCUGCAAUCCCACCUAAUCUCUGCUACUCAGAAGCUUCGAGUGAAAGCUUUACUUCCAUGGUCUUACGUGAAAUUGGGCCAGCGUGUUUUUGGGCCACAGACUUUUAAUUUUGGGCUUGGUUAUUUUCUUUUUAUGGUAUCAAGAGCGAGUUCUAUACUUGUUCUGCCACUUUUCCGCUGCACAGACUUCCUCUUCUUGAUUUGAUCUUGGUUUCUUUAAAGCCUUUCUUGCUGCCAUGUCGGAUACAGGUACGGACAUGAAUCUGGACCAGUUCAACAAUCCUUCCAGUCCCUUUUAUCUCCACCCAGGAGAGAACUCAGGCACUGUUCUUAUUUCCCAAGUUCUUAAUGAAUCUAACUAUACUUCUUGGAGCAGAAAUAUGAGAAGGGCUCUCCUCUCCAAAAACAAAUUAAAAUUCAUAGAUGGAGGAAUCAAGAAGCCACAAAGAGAUGAUCCUUUUUUUGACUUUUGGGAAAGAAGCAAUAUGAUGGUGUUAUCUUGGAUUAUCAAGACUUUAUCACCUCAAAUAGCAGAGAGUGUGAUAUAUGUGGAGGAUGCUCAAGAACUGUGGGAAGAAUUAAAAGAAAGGUUCUCCAAAGGAGAUCAUUUUAAAUUCUCAGAUUUACUCCAAGAAAUCCACUCUAUUAAACAAGGAGAAAGAAGUGUCAACCAAUAUUUUACUGAUCUAAAAAUCCUAUGGGAGGAGUUGGAGUUUCUCAGACCCAUCCCAUACUGUAGCUGCAAAAUCCCUUACAGUUGUGACCUAUCCAGAAUUUCUCACAAAUAUAGAGACAUGGAGCAUGUUAUCUGUUUCUUAAAGGGCUUGAAUGAGUCUUACAAUACUGUCAAGACACAAAUUUUGCUUAUGGAGCCUUUACCCAGCAUUAAUCGUGUAUUUUCUCUCAUCAUACAGCAGGAAAGACACGACCCCAUUCUCACCCAUCAAAAUGACAACAAAAUUUUGGCCAACACCACUGAAAAACAGAACCAGUGGAAGAGUGACCAAGGCUGGAGGACUUAUGGACGAGGAAAUCCCUCUAGAAGUCAAGGAAGAGGGAGAGGGAGAAAUCCCAACUAUGGGAAAUAGUGUUCCCACUGUCACAAAAUGAACCACACUGUUGAUAAGUGUUAUUCUAAACAUGGAUAUCCACCGUGGUACAAAAAGAGUGAUAAUAAUGGGCAGAAUGGUAUGGGACAGAAUCAAUGGGGAUCAGCCAAUGCUUGUUCUGCUUCUGCUACAUCACAGGUCAGUCAAAUACAGAGAAAUAAUGCAGAGGACACACAAGGUAUGUUCUCAUGGAUUAUAGAUACAGGGGCCACUGAUCAUGUGACCCACGACAAGAAUCAAUUCAUAACUUUCAAUAAAAUUAAGCCUAUAACUGUUAAACUACCCAAUAAUUCUAUUGUUACUGCCCAUUAUGCAGGAACCAUACAGUUCUAUGAAGAUUUCAUAAUUUUCAAUGUUUUAUACAUACCUGAAUUUACUUUCAAUCUAAUAUCUGUUCAAAGCUUGACUAGGGAUAUAAAUUGUAUUCUAACUUUUUCCUCUAAGAUAUGUGAAAUUCAGGACAGCUCUACAUUGAGGAUGAUUGGAUAUGCUAGUGUGUGCAAAGGACUUUACUACUUACAACCUUUUGAAAAGAAGCUGGCUCCUAGUUUUAUUUUUUCUUAUGAACAUGAUGAUGUAAAUUUGUGGCACUGCAGACUUGGUCACCCUGGACAUAAAGUAGUUGAGAAAAUAUGUAAAAUUUUUCCUUAUGUACAAACUACCUCUGAUAAUGCUUGUGACAUCUGUCAUUAUGCUAAACAACACAAAUUGUCUUUUCCUAAAAGUGAUUCCUUAUCUGCUAAUUGUUUUGAUAUGAUUCAUUGUGAUAUUUGGGGUCCUAUUUCUACCCCUUCUGUGCAUGGCCAUAGAUACUUUCUCACUAUUGUUGAUGAUCAUAGUAGGCACACUUGGGCUUUUCUUAUGCAUAAUAAGGGUCAGACUAGGGAACUCUUACAAGCUUUUAUCAUAAGAAUUAAAACUCAAUUUAAUAAAACUAUCAAAGUCAUUAGGACCGAUAAUGGUCCUGAGUUUAAGUGUUACAGCAUCUAUGAUACUUAUGGAAUUGAACAUCAGAAAAGUUGUGUUGAAACUCCACAACAAAAUUCUGUUGUGGAGCGGAAACACCAGCACAUAUUGAAUGUUACUCGCAAUUUAAUUUUUCAAUCUAACAUUCCUCAUAUCUAUUGGUCUUAUGCUUUAUCACAUGCUAUAUAUUUGAUUAACAGACUACCUUCCCCUGUCAUUAAGGACAAAACCCCCUUUGAUAUACUGCAUAAUAAUCCACCCACUUAUCUUAAUCUAAAAGUCUUUGGUUGUCUGUGUUUUGCUUCCACUUUGGAAAACAAUAGAAAUAAGCUUGAUCCUAGAGCUAGGAAAGGGAUAUUUCUAGGAUACAAAAAUGGGGUAAAAGGGUAUGUUGUUUUAGAUAUUAAUACCAGGGAAAUAUUCGUUAGCAGGAAUGUUAUUUUUUAUGAGGACAUUUUUCCCUAUAAAAGCAAAAAUGAAGAUAGAGAUAAUUCUAGUCACAGUAAAAAUAGCACUUUCUUUCUUAAUGACAUUCUCUGCAGCCACGAGGAAGAAUCUGUUGAAAAUGGAGGAGAAAAUCCUGACCAUGUUGAGAACAACUCUGCUGGAAGCAGCUUUGCUGAGAACACCAAUACUAGUGCUGAGAAUGUUAAUUUUAGAAGAGGAAAUCCUGACCAUGAUGAGAGCAACUCUUCUGGAAGUAGUUCUGCUGAAAACGGCUCUAUUGAGAACACCAAUACUGGCGCUGAGAGUGUUGAUCCUAGAGAAUAGCAAGAGGAAAACAAGUACAGAAGGUCUAACAGAGUCAAAAGACCUCCUGAAUACUUGAAGGACUACAUUCAGCAAAAUGAUCAAUCCUCAUCUACCUAUUUGUGUGCCAAAAAUGGUUUGAAAACCCCUUACCCUAUAACGAAUACUUUAUCUUACAAAUCUCUAUCUGCUAAACAUUUAAAAUACACCCUUGCCAUAACUGCUAAUAAAGAACCAAGCUCCCAUGAUGAGGCUAAAAACAGACCUGAAUGGGCUGAAGCUAUGCAGAAGGAAAUUCGGGCCCUACAAGACAAUGGGACCUGGUUUUUGACUCAACUCCCUCCAGGAAAGAGAUCUAUUGGAUGUAGAUGGGUUUACAAAGUAAAACACAAGGCUGAUGGCACUAUUGAAAGAUAUAAGGCUAGGUUGGUCGCUAAAGGUUACACCCAACAAGAAGGAAUAGAUUUUCUAGACACAUUUUCCCCUGUUGCCAAACUUACUUCUGUCAGGUUGUUGUUAGCCCUUGCUGCCUCAAGAAAUUGGUUUCUACAUCAACUUGAUGUAGAUAAUGCUUUCCUUCAUGGAGACUUAAAUGAGGAUGUUUACAUGGAUCCACCUCCUGGUUUAAAUGUCAACAUCAAAGGACAAGUUUGUAAGCUCACUAAGUCUCUUUAUGGCNUGAAACAAGCCAGNANACAAUGGUUUGACAANCUCUCCACCUUNCUUAUCUCCUCUGAUUAUGUCCAAUCCAAAUCUGAUCAUUCACUUUUUGUUAAGAAAACUCCUACAAAUUUCACAGCCUUACUUGUGUAUGUUGAUGACAUUGUCUUAGCAGGAAACUCCAUGAAUGAAAUAAGCCACAUAAAGGCCCUCUUGCACAAUCAAUUCAAGAUUAANGAUCUGGGAGAACUCAAGUAUUUCCUAGGUUUUGAAGUUGCUAGAUCUAAAAAGGGGAUACACCUUUGUCAAAGGAAGUAUGCCCUUGAUAUUCUUGAAGAAACUGGAAUGUUAGGGUGCAAACCCUGCUCUACUCCCUUUUUGAGUAACAAUAACUCAUUGUAUAAGACAGAGAACUAUAUGGACAAUCCCAGUGAUUAUAGAAGAUUGAAAGGGAAACUUUUCUAUCUUACUAAUACUAGACCUGACCUGUGUUUUACAGUUAAUCUUUUAAGUCAAUUUAUGCAGGAGCCUACUAACUAUCAUUAUCAAGCAUUGCAGCAUGUCCUUAGAUACGUUAAGUCCAGUCCUUCUGAAGGACUCUUCUUUGCUGCUGACUCAGAUGUACAAAUAAAAGGAUUCAGUGAUUCAGAUUGGGCCACCUGCCCUUAUACAAGAAGGACUACUACUGGAUAUUGCAUUUUUUUAGGAGCUUCUCUUGUCUCGUGGAGGUCGAAGAAACAAAACACAGUCUCAAGAUCUUCUACAGAAGCAGAGUAUCGAGCUCUUGCUGCUACGGUUUGUGAAAUGCAGUGGCUGCACUAUCUGUUGCAAGACCUCCAAAUUGAGCCUAUUUCUACUACUGUCCUAUAUUGUGACAACAACUCUGCCAGACACAUCGCUCAUAACCAAAGUUUUCACGAGCGGACCAAACAUAUAGAAUUGGACUGUCAUGUUGUUCGUGAGAAGAUACAAGCUAAAUUUUUGCGUUUACUCCCCAUUCGAUCAGAAGACCAACUAGCGGAUGCCUUCACUAAGUUUCCUCACCGCACUCGUUUUAAAUCUAUCGUUCCCAAGCUUGGAUUGGUGAAUAUCCACCAACCAGCUUGAAGGGAGGCUAUUAAAUGAUUCUGUUUUGUCUUUAAUAUUUUCUGUUUUGUAAAUAACUGUUCAUAAGANCANUAUUUAGUUUUUAGAGUUUCUGUUUUUAUGUCUUUNCUUGCCUAUUAAGGUUUCUAACGUGUAGAAACAACACUCAACAGAACCCUAUUUAAAGGGAUUCCAGUGCUCCUAAUCUAAUGAUGAAAAUACACAAAAUAAAGUUCACAGAACCACCAUUCUAUUAAAAAGCUUUGAUAAAGCUCUUACCUUUUCUGUGCAUUUCUUCUUCUUGCUGUAUUCUUCUUUUUUCUUCUUGUGAAUCACCAUCCACGCUAGCGUUUAGANUCUCCCAUGGGUGUCGCCCUUCUUCUUCUCUCUCGUGAAGAAUCCCGAUGCUGCAAUCCCACCUAAUCUNUGCUACUCAGAAGCUUCGAGUGAAAGCUUUACUUCCAUGGUCUUACGUGAAAUUGGGCCAGCGUGUUUUUGGGCCACAGACUUUUAAUUCUGGGCUUGGUUAUUUUCUU
rnacentral:lncRNA from 1 species